UACAGAGGUGGCAAGCGUUGUUCGGAAUUACUGGGCGUAAAGGGCGCGUAGGCGGCCUUCUAAGUCAGACGUGAAAUCCCCCGGCUUAACCUGGGAACUGCGUCUGAUACUGGGAGGCUAGAGUGCGGGAGAGGGGGAUGGAAUUCCGCGUGUAGCAGUGAAAUGCGUAGAUAUGCGGAGGAACACCGAUGGCGAAGGCAAUCCCCUGGACCUGUACUGACGCUCAUGCGCGAAAGCGUGGGGAGCAAACAGG
rnacentral:rRNA from 1 species